UGCUAUUUUUAUGAAGAGCGGCGAACGGGUGAGUAACGCGUGGGAAAUCUGCCGAGUAGCGGGGGACAACGUUUGGAAACGAACGCUAAUACCGCAUAACAAUGAGAAUCGCAUGAUUCUCAUUUAAAAGAAGCAAUUGCUUCACUACUUGAUGAUCCCGCGUUGUAUUAGCUAGUUGGUAGUGUAAAGGACUACCAAGGCGAUGAUACAUAGCCGACCUGAGAGGGUGAUCGGCCACACUGGGACUGAGACACGGCCCAGACUCCUACGGGAGGCAGCAGUAGGGAAUCUUCGGCAAUGGGGGCAACCCUGACCGAGCAACGCCGCGUGAGUGAAGAAGGUUUUCGGAUCGUAAAACUCUGUUGUUAGAGAAGAACGUUAAGUAGAGUGGAAAAUUACUUAAGUGACGGUAUCUAACCAGAAAGGGACGGCUAACUACGUGCCAGCAGCCGCGGUAAUACGUAGGUCCCAAGCGUUGUCCGGAUUUAUUGGGCGUAAAGCGAGCGCAGGUGGUUUCUUAAGUCUGAUGUAAAAGGCAGUGGCUCAACCAUUGUGUGCAUUGGAAACUGGGAGGCUUGAGUGCAGGAGAGGAGAGUGGAAUUCCAUGUGUAGCGGUGAAAUGCGUAGAUAUAUGGAGGAACACCGGAGGC
rnacentral:rRNA from 1 species